AUGGCUAACAAAAAUUUGGGCAUCUUCAUCCUCAUAGCAACACUAGUGGCUCAAGCUACUUGGGUUCGAGCAAAGGAGUUUAUAGUUGGAGACGAUAAAGGAUGGGCCUCGGGUGUUGAUUAUGAUGAGUGGAUCAAGGAUAAGGAAAUCUUUUAAGGAGACAAACUUGUGUUCACAUUCGAAAGGGAAUCACGUAAGCUAUUUUACAUGACUCAUGAAAAGUGUAACGCUUGUUGUCCUAAUGAUCCACUUAUGGAGAUGUAUCCUUGUGGAAAUAAUUGCCUAACCUUAAUGGCUAUCGGCAAGCGUUGUGUUAUGAGCACCAGAGAGGAUUGUCUGAAUGGAAUGAAGCUUCUCUUCGAAGUCAAGCCAGCUCCUGCAUUACAAGAAUGUAGAGACACAAUAAUCUAAGCUUCGAGGAUUGCAUGUCUUAAUUGU
rnacentral:lncRNA from 1 species